rnacentral:rRNA from 1 species
UACGGAGGGAGCUAGCGUUGUUCGGAAUUACUGGGCGUAAAGCGCACGUAGGCGGCUUUGUAAGUUAGAGGUGAAAGCCCGGGGCUCAACCCCGGAAUUGCCUUUAAGACUGCAUCGCUUGAAUCCGGGAGAGGUGAGUGGAAUUCCGAGUGCAGAGGUGAAAUUCGUAGAUAUUCGGAAGAACACCAGUGGCGAAGGCGGCUCACUGGACCGGUAUUGACGCUGAGGUGCGAAAGCGUGGGGAGCAAACAGG